GGCUCCUCUUUUUGGGCAAAAAUCGAAUCUUUUCAUGGAGAAUGGACGAAAGAGAGGAGUUUGCCAGUUGACAUUGGUUGUUCAGCAGACUAUGUUUUGGAAGAAGAACGAAAUUGCUGCUAGGUUUGCUCUCUACGUCUCUCUCGUUGUGCGCUACGGUUUUGUCGCCUGAUUCAAGUUAUUCCUAUGGCAUCAGUUCCAUUCAUGCUGUGUGUCUUUUGGAGCUCCUGUUCUUGUUGUUACACACCAACGCUUAUUCCCUAAUGGUUGCCUCUGCUGUUUAGCUCCUUCAUGGUAGUUGAUUCUCUAAAUUCAUGUGUCUUCCUGCAAUCUCCAGGUCAUAGUCGAAUGGAAUGGCAGAUACUAGACAAGACUCAGAGGGGAAGUCAUAGUCUUUAAUCUAUCAUAUAUCCUAGACAAGACUCCGACGGGAAGUAGUGUUUCCUCUGUCAUCCAAAUUAUUUCCCUUGCCCUGAAAGAGGCUGAGGAGGGAAGCUGGUUCCAUUUGUCAGGGAACUGAACUUGUUUCUUUUUUCUCAACUUAUCAUCAUCGAUCUCUUCCAAGUACUAUGCUCGAUAUGUAUGCAAUCCAAAUGUAUCGAUUCUCAAGGUAGCGUGUGGGGGCAAGCCUUGGCACAAUGUAGCGCGUCAAGUCACAGAGAAACUUAGACCUUUGAGAUAAGCAACCUCAAUGCUUCAGAAUUCUGAUAGCACCUUAUUGUCUAGUCCAUGGAGCUAUGAAGCUUUCCACUGUAUUGCUGGCUGAAUCCACUUGUCAUGGUUCCGCGAGGUGCUUGGGCUGUUUUAAGUAAAAGAAACUCUUCAUGUAACAUCUAGCAAUUAGUCUUUGUUCAGAGGCAGUCAUUCGUUGAUAACUUUCGAGAACAUUAGUUGAUUCUUCACAAGACAUUAGUUGGAAGGAGUACUCAAAGAAUCUGAUGCUUGUCUUAUCAAGAUGGCAGCGCUGCAGUUUGAUUCUUGCAAAUCAGAAAAGCUUUUUUUCUGGUCAGCUUUAGGCUGUCAAUGAAAUGGUAGAGAUUGGUACUGCAUCGAGGGAUCAGAUUCUCGCUCAGCCGAGCAAGAGGGAUAUGACUAGGAACAAAAUGAAGCAUGGACAUGACGCAGGAAUCUUGAAACCUAAUGCAGAAAGCACCUCAUAAUCCCAAUGUUGGAUGAAUGCAGGAUGUUGAUUGUGUCCUUGCCAAAAAGGGAUUUCAUUGUGGUUCAUGAAUGAUAUUAACGGGUGAAGGCAUCAUCAAUAGUUUGGAGAACUUGUGGCGGCAGCAGAACAUUCAUGAAAUGACUCUGAUUAUUUUGUCCAGCAGCUGAAGUAGUUCAAAAAAAAUUCAGCAAUUUAGAAUAACAAUUAUGUAACAUGAAAACUCAAAAAGUGAUGAGUUUUCAUACAGUUUAAUCUACAAUCAGAUUGUUCAUAAAUAAGAAAAGAAAAAUCAUGAGAAAACAAAAAAGGGAAGAGAGGUGGGUGUCUUUGUUGUUGCUUGAUAGAUGUGUAAAGAAGAAAAUGGAAGAGGAAGAUGUGUGAAGGAAAAGAAAAGAAGAGAGAGAAAGUUGCAUAGCUUUAUUCGUUACUUGCUUGUGAUCACUAGAUUCUUCAA